rnacentral:rRNA from 1 species
CGAACGCUGGCGGCGUGCUUAACACAUGCAAGUCGAACGGCAAGGCCCUGCUUGCAGGGUCCUCGAGUGGCGAACGGGUGAGUAACACGUGGGUGAUCUGCCCUGCACUUCGGGAUAAGCCUGGGAAACUGGGUCUAAUACCGGAUAGGAGCCAUUUUUAGUGUGAUGGUUGGAAAGUUUUUUCGGUGUAGGAUGAGCUCGCGGCCUAUCAGCUUGUUGGUGGGGUAAUGGCCUACCAAGGCGGCGACGGGUAGCCGGCCUGAGAGGGUGGACGGCCACAUUGGGACUGAGAUACGGCCCAGACUCCUACGGGAGGCAGCAGUGGGGAAUAUUGCACAAUGGGCGCAAGCCUGAUGCAGCGACGCCGCGUGGGGGAUGACGGCCUUCGGGUUGUAAACUCCUUUCGCUAGGGACGAAGCUUUUUGUGACGGUACCUAGAUAAGAAGCACCGGCUAACUACGUG